CGCAAGUUGCAACCAGCGCAGGAGUUUAGACCUGUGCACUGAAAACCAGAGCGGGGAGACAGGUGGUUUACGCUGCCAAGCGGCGUCGUUUCAUCCAUUGACGAUGCUGUCGCAUGCAAAGCGUGGUCUGCUGCUGAUGCAGCAGCAGCAGCAUUCCAUUCUCUGUCAGCAGCUUCGAUGGGCAGCAGCAGCAGCAGGGAGGGGCAGGCAUCAUUCUCCCCUCGCAGCAAAGAAGGGCGACGAGAAAUCCGAGUGGUGGAUUAUGGACGGAGAGAUGCACGAGAUUGGCGACAACGUCCCGCCCUGGGAGCGUUUCAUUAUCCCUCGCGACAAUAUCCCCAACAAGCGCCGCAAGCAGAUGCGCGAGCAGUUCAUGCGCCGCACCCGCCUCGUCCUCAAAGAAUCGGAGCAUGAACCUUGGUGCAAAAGAUAUAUGGAACUAUAUCAAGAACUCAGGGAGAAUUGGGAAAGGUUAUACUGGGAUGAAGGCUAUUCUAAGAAAAUUGCUCAAGAUCAUGCCAACUAUGAAUCUGCUGAAGAUGAUGAUCUAGAUUUUUCACCAUACAGAAGGAGAUCCCAUGCUGAACAAAAUAAGGACCAAGGUUUUGUGCGGAACAGACAAGGUGACAGUUGGGAAAAGAUUGGCCAAAUCCGGGAUAAGUUUGAAUAUGAUAGAGAGAAAAGAAUGAGGGAGAAGGAUGGAGAAAUGCUAUGGAGGCUCAACGAAGCUGUUCACCCCUUCAUCCCCACAACGUGAUUAUCCAGUCUGUUCAUUUAGAGGGUCCCACUGUAGAUGAGCCACGUGGCAUCAUAUGGGAUCUCAUCAUUUGCACCAAUGAACAGGGGGACUGGUUUUGACCGUGAAUCAGUGUCCAGGAUUCAGCCCUUCGAUACCCAGAAAUUCUUUCCCAAUCCUUCAAGGGACUGAAUGGCAGGCUGCCAUCAGUAUACAUGAAAAGAGAUAAGGUGAUAUUCUGCAAUGUUAUGGAUAGGCGGGUUCUCGUCAUGUUGAGAGAAUUUAUAAACCUUCCCAGGAAAAUCGUGAAAAAGCUCGUGAGCAGUAGCAUUGACAUCCAGAUUCCAGCAGGCAAAUGAACGGGUUCCAUUCUGGACAAACUGAGUUCAGAUCAUAUCAGGUGCUGUAUUUGAUACAUGAAUGUUGCCGUUGUUAUUGAUGUUUGGUUUGGGAUAUUUGUAAAUGUAAAGAAACUCAUCUUUAGUCAUAAGGUAGAGAUAUAAUUAGAAUCAUAUAACCAAAAGCCAAUGUAGAGGACCUGACAUUCAUGCAGUAGGCCCCAUCUACAUGCAAAUGAAAUAGCUAAUGUCAUGAUGGUGGGCCCUGAUGUGUGGUCCCUAAUGUCAUGAAGUGGGGCCUAAUGUUCGAUGUAUAUUUUUUCUCCAUUUUCA